rnacentral:ribozyme from 1 species
AAAAAAAAAAAAAAAAAAAAAAAAAAAAAACAUCGUCCGCAUCAUUGUCUGCUUGGC